rnacentral:lncRNA from 1 species
UUGGCAAGCAAUAGACAAGGGUACUGACUAUAAAAUCAGCACACCAUUUAACUAUUUUAUCAGCCAAUUGUAGUUUACGCAACAGGGAAAGGAGGAAAAUCAAUUUAGUAUCGAAAACCUCGGCAAAGUUGCCAUUUCUAAGACUUCACCAAAUACACAUAUAGGCAAGCAUUGUUUUGACUUUUGAAUUUUGUUCCAUGUUGGCUGCAAUAUACAAGGGUACUGACUAUAAAACCAGUACAGCAUUUAAAUUUUUUUCAGCCAAUGGUAGUUUAGGCAACAGGGAAAGGAGGGAAAUCAAUAUAGUAUCGAAAACCUCGGCAAAGUUGCCAUUUCUAAGACUUCAUCAAAUACACAUAUAGGCAAGCAUUGUAUUGACUUUUGAAUUUUGUUCUAUGUUGGCUGCAAUAUACAAAGAAACUGACUAUAAAAUCAGUACAGCAUUUAACUUUUUCAGCCAAUUGUAAUUUUGGCAACAGGGAAAGGAGGGAAAUCAAUAUAGUAUUGAAAACCUCGGCAAAGUUGCCAUUUCUAAGACUUCACCAAAUACACAUAUAAGCAAGCUUUGUUUUGACUUCUGAAUUUUGUUCCAUGUUGGCUGUAAUAUACAAGGGUACUGACUAUAAAAUCAGUACAGCAUUUAACUUUUCCAGCCAAUUGUAAUUUUGGCAAACAGGGAAAGGAGGGAAAUCAACAUAGUAUUGAAAACCUCGGCAAAGUUGCCAUUUCUUCUUCACCAAACACACACAUAGGCAAGCAUUGUUUUGACUUCUGAAUUUUGUUCCAUGUUGGCUGAAAUAUACAAGGGUACUAACUAUAAAAUCAGCACAGCAUUUAACUAUUUUAUCAGCCAAUUUUAGUUUAGGCAACAGGGAAAGGAGGAAAAUCAACAUAGUAUCGAAAACCUCGGCAAAGUUGCCAUUUCUACGACUUCACCAAAUACACAUAUAGGCAAGCAUUGUUUUGACUUUUAAAUUUUGUUCCAUGUUGGCUCCAAUGUACAAGGGUACUGACUAAAAAUCAGUACAGCAUUUAACUUUUUUUCAGCCUAUCGAGUUUAGGCAACAGGGAAAGGAGGAAAAUCAAUAUAGUAUCAAUAGCCUUGACAAAGUUGCCAUUUCUAAGACUUUGGAAUACACACAAGAGUAGGCAGGUAUUGAUUUGAAUUUAGUUCUAUAUAUUAACUAAAUACACGAGUUAAUAAUGGAAAACUAUCAUAACAUUGGUUUGAUUCAUAUAAUGGCAAGUAUAGGACAGCUGAGAGCUUGUGACAGCAAAAAGACAAUUUCUUGCAAUUAUUGUAAAAGCACCAACAAUUUAGUUAAAUUAAACUUUAGAUUGUAUUUUGUAAAAUAAAUCCCUAUCAGAGUAACUAUGACAUAAGCUUCACUUGGACAAUUGCCCAUAGCUUUUGAAAAGUGAUCAUCAUAUAGGGUAAAAAAAUUGGACAAACAACAUUCUGAUUCUUACUGAAAACAUUCACAAAGCAUGAUUCCUAAACAAAAACAA